rnacentral:rRNA from 1 species
AGAUCCUGGCUCAGGAUGAACGCUAGCUACAGGCUUAACACAUGCAAGUCGAGGGGGCAGCAUGGUCUUAGCUUGCUAAGGCCGAUGGCGACCGGCGCACGGGUGGGUAACGCGUAUCCAACCUGCCUUACACUCUUGGACAGCCUUCUGAAAAGGGAGAUUAAUACAAGAUGUUAUCAUGAGUAAGCAUUUUCGCAUGGUUAAAGGUUUACCGGUGUAAGAUGGGGAUGCGUUCCAUUAG